UACAGAGGUGCCGAGCGUUAGGCGGAAUUACUGGGCUUAAAGCGUGUGUAGGCGGACUUCUAAGUACCUUGUGAAAUCCCACGGCUCACCCGUGGAACUGCUGGGUAUACUGGUCGUCUUGAGCCACCUAGGGGCCAGCGGAACAAAUGGUGGAGCGGUGAAAUGCGUAGAUAUCAUUUGGAACGCCAACGGUGAAAACAGCUGGCUGGGGGUGUGCUGACGCUGAGACACGAAAGCCAGGGGAGCGAACGGG
rnacentral:rRNA from 1 species